AGUGAACGCUGGCGGUAGGCCUAACACAUGCAAGUCGAAAGGCAGCACAGUAAGAGCUUGCUCUUACGGGUGGCGAGUGGCGGACGGGUGAGGAAUACAUCGGAAUCUACUUUUUCGUGGGGGAUAACGUAGGGAAACUUACGCUAAUACCGCAUACGACCUACGGGUGAAAGCAGGGGAUCUUCGGACCUUGCGCGAUUGAAUGAGCCGAUGUCGGAUUAGCUAGUUGGCGGGGUAAAGGCCCACCAAGGCGACGAUCCGUAGCUGGUCUGAGAGGAUGAUCAGCCACACUGGAACUGAGACACGGUCCAGACUGCUACGGGAGGCAGCAGUGGGGAAUAUUGGACAAUGGGCGCAAGCCUGAUCCAGCCAUACCGCGUGGGUGAAGAAGGCCUUCGGGUUGUAAAGCCCUUUUGUUGGGAAAGAAAAGCAGCAGGUUAAUACCCCGCUGUUCUGACGGUACCCAAAGAAUAAGCACCGGCUAACUUCGUG
rnacentral:rRNA from 1 species